rfam:Chthoniobacter flavus Ellin428 ctg49, whole genome shotgun sequence.
GGUGAGGUGGCUGAGUGGUCGAAAGCGGCGCUUUGCUAAAGCGUUGUACCCUUUAAAAGGUACCCAGGGUUCGAAUCCCUGCCUCACCG